rnacentral:piRNA from 1 species
UACUAAUGCCUGAAAGGGCUGGGAAA